rnacentral:lncRNA from 1 species
GCAGUCUUCCUAGCUUUAGGGUCAAUCGAAUAGAUAGAAGAUCUAGCGCCUCGGUCAGAGAGAAUGGGGCACGAGUUCGUGACCUAAUAGAAUAGUGUUUUGUGAUCCCGGGGAAAGCUAUCAUAGUGAUUCCACUAGACUUGAAAGCAAAUGAAACAAACCGGGAUAAAGCUUUAACCAAGCGUAGUUGGCGGAGUAUGACCUCUUGAUUUGAAGUUUUCUGGAUUCCUAGUCUACUAUAACUGACUUAAUAGAAUAUGGUAUUAAAUAAUCAUUUUUUCUUUUUUUGUUUUCUAAUUAACGUGGAUGGGGAACCUGGAAAGGUGAUAAAUAUAUCUAGUACUAGUACAGAACAACAUUAUUAACUACACUGAUAAACAUAAAAUUCUUUAGGUUUUAAGUGUAUAGUAAAGUAAUCUUAAGAUCAGGUUUCACUCCAAAAUGAGCUAUCAUUAAUUAGUGAUAAC